rnacentral:rRNA from 1 species
AUGAACCUUGCCGAUAAUGAUCUAUCGGGAACCAUCCCUGGAGAGUUGGGUAAGCUUCCAAACCUCCAUACACUGAAUCUUUCCAACAGCAACCUUGAAGGUAACAUCCCUGAUUCCUUAGGCACUAGCAAUUCUCUUAGCUAUGUCAAUCUUGGAAACAACACUCUUACAGGCCGUAUCCCUCUCUCAUUGACCAAUUGCUCCUCACUCAACACACUUAUACUGUCAUGUAAUAACCUCUCUGGAGAGAUCCCUUCUACUUUGUUUUACAACUUACCUAAGCUAAGGUUGAUCUCCAGAAGAAUUCUUUCACUGGUCUCAUCCCACGUUUCCAUAAGGUCACAGCACUCAAAUUUCUUUGCCUGA